CAGAGAGCACGCUCCACUGAGCCCGCUCUAUUUUUAUUUUUGCUCCAAGAAGUGCAAAAGCGCGCGGUACGCCUAAAGAACGCCAUUUUACGGCUCUGCAUUUAAUUGCUUCAGUCACGUGAUAGACGAGAAAAGUAAAUUUUCAUAGUACUCUCCAACGACAUAUCAAAUUAGAAGAGUGACUCAGUACUUUUCUUAAAUGAGCAACAGGCAUUAGAAUAUUCUUACAAAACUUCCUACGAUUUAAAGCCAUCUUCCUUCCUUCUCGAUCUUUCUCGAAUGGCAGGAGAAAUACUGUUAACUCCAAGCUGCCCUGCAAUUUCUUUUAACGUUUGCGAUAAGUUUCCGUUGAGCAAUCGAAUCAAUUGAGCUUCGAAUUCGUGACUCUGCUUCUAUUUGUGACCUUACCAACAUUUGCAGGCACUCAUAAUGCAUUAUAUUAGAUCAAUCGAUAUCGACUGAUAAGAAUUAAUAAGAAAUGCUGAUGAACCGCUUGAAGUCUUGUUUUUUUUUUAGUAAAAAAGGAAAGUUCUAUUGUAAAUGGAAACAUCAGCUGUGUUCGAAAACGUUUCUUAUUUGUUCUUUGAUUACUACUGUUCUUACUUUUACCUUCAUCCGUUCCCUUUUAAAAUAGACAAAUUAAAAAAAUAAGGAUAUUGUUUACAGCUAUAUUAGCACUGGUUCAGAAAAAAUCAUCUUAAUCAGAAAGUUUGAUGUUUUUAUAUUCGUCUUUUUCAUUGUUAUAUUUACAACUUCUUUAUUAGUCGGACCACUAACGUGCAGCUAAUAUUGUCUUACGUAAAUAGCACCAGAAAACUACUGGAUAAUAACGAUAUGUAAUACACUGCUCAAAAUAAUUAGAGUCGUUCGUUUAAUGAUAUUGUUCAAGUAAUUUAGUAGAAAUAUAAAACCGAUUAUAUAACCGAAUAAAGAUGAGAACUAACUAGUUGCAAUUAUGGGAUUACAAGGAAAAAGUUAAAAAAAAA